rnacentral:piRNA from 1 species
UUACACCUCAGACAAACCCCACAGGAUAAUU